UUGUUUUGAUUUUAUUAUUCACAAAUCAAUUUUUCAAAAAUUUAAAACCAAUGAAAAUGUGUGUUUUGAGUGAUAACUGAAUACGAACAGAUUGUAAAUUACACAAAAUCAUCAAAUUUUAAACAGAAAAUUCAUAAGAAAAACAACAAAACAGUUUUUUUUUUGGUUAUGAAUACAAACCCUUCUUUCGUAAGAGGAGCGUUUUUCACCACAGCUAGCUCGGAUGGAGAAAUUUUAACAGUAGCAUAUGAGCAGAGCUGAGCUUUGAAUGUAAAUUAUGCUCAGAAGUUUGCAGUGAUAUUACAACCACCCUGUAUAUGCAGAAUAUCUUAAACUUAUAUGCAAAGUCGUUUGCGUCUUCUCCUGAUUUUAAUUGUGGCCAAUAAUUCUCUGGAGUGAAACACGCUCACCGUUUUCAGAACCCUUCUCAAAAGUAGUAAAACACGCUCAUCGUAUUCAGUUCCCCUGCGAAAAGUGAAAUAUUUUGAUAAUGGCCGCACUGUGAACCUUCUCUAUAAUCCACAUUCUCUAGUUAAUUGUCGAAUGUUUACAUUUUGAUCAUAUGUCGAUCAACCCAAGAAAUUUUAUAAAUGUAACUGUUAUUCCGUAA